UGAAGUAUUUAAGUGUUGUUUUCUUUAUCUUAUUUUCAGGAUGAAUCGGCAACUACUUUGUCACCAAAGAAGAGAAAGAGAAGAAGAAGAAACAGACAUAAGAAGGAUGCCAUGCCAGGGGAAGAGUGAAGCUGGUUUGACUCAGGCUGACAAUUAAAGAAGCAGCAACCUCAAGACCUUAAAUGAAAGAGUUAUUUCUUCUGAGUUUAGAACAAUCGCUAAGUGCCAAUGUGUAUUACGUAAAACUGUGUAGGCAGUGUCAACAACAGAGUAAGACUACUUUAGGAUGAAAAGUAUAGAUAGAAUACCCAAACAUGCUUUUUUUAGUUAAAAGCUAAUUAAUGUUGCAAUAUACCAUAAAUCUACUAAAAGUUGCAUUCAUUUUUCAAAUUUAAUGUUCCCCACAAACACAUAUAGUUGGCUUGUGCUAUUGCCAAAAGGGGGUGGAUGAUGUACAAAAUGAUUUUGCUUAAAAUAAAUGACACUAACUUAGUGCAGAAGAAAGAGUGUCCUAUAUAAUACUGCUAAUCUUGAAAUCAAUGAACCAAUGAUAAUGAUCACUAUUUAGAAUCAUUGCAUUGCCCUUGUAGUAUAGGCAUUUCACUUAACAUUGAUACAUGUAUGACCAAAAAUCUUCCAUUUGUAAAACAGUAGAGCUUGACUUGACUUUAUUAAGAUCCACAUUUAGCUAACAUUAUUUACAUUUAGCAAAUUUUUGUCUUGAUUUUGUACAUGUUUAAGAGGUAGGUAAUGUAUGCAUAACUCUGGAAUUAGUUAUGUCAUUUGUUUGACCACUUACAUUUGUAGUCGUUCAUUUAGUUAAGACUGUGUAAGGCCCAUAUGCAUAUGUUAUUAGUUAGAGUUGCAUCUACAAAAAGUCAUUCACAGUUAGCCUUUUGAGUACAAAACAGGAAAAUCUAUGUUUUUUUAAUUACUAGAUACUUUUAAUUAUGUUGAUGCAUUGUGUGAAAUUUAUAGGUUUUAAAAUGUUUUAUUGUUAUUAUUGACAUUAUUUGUUUGUGUUCUUCAUUUUGAGGGCCAAGAUGAUUUUUAAUGUUUCCUGUUUUAUAGAUAAUUCUCUAGAG